rnacentral:lncRNA from 1 species
GGGCUGUACCGAGUAAUGAAGCUCUAAAUGAUCAACCUCUGAUGCCUCCUCCUUCUAGGGUUCUGUCUAGUACUGAGCUCCGAAUGAUCCCCCUCCGGUGCCUUCUCUUUCUGGGGCUCUACCGACUGCUGAGACUUCUCCUAAGCAACCUUUGUGAAGGCUCCCUCUUGUUUGUUUAUUUUGACUCAUGUAUAUGUACAUAUUUGUAAUUUAUCAGAGAUAUCAAUAAAUAAGUUUUGCUUCAUUUCAACGUAUUUUGUUAAAUACACCAAAGCCUUCUUCACUAAGUUCUUUGAAUUUUUCUUUUGUUGAAGCUUUGUGAGUGGAGCAUGUAGGUUGAGGUAGUGUUCCCUUAAUUUCCCGAGUGAGGAAAACUUCUCGGUUGAAGACUUGAAAAAUCCAAGUCACUGAGUAGGGUCGGCUAUAUGAAUCUUAGAACGCCAUUGUGCUUGGUCAUGUGCGAUGUCCUCCGUUAGAUCCAUGUACUCUAAGUCUUUUCUUAGAGUCUCUUCCAAAGUUUUCCUAGGUCUUCCUCUACCCCUUCGGCUCUGAACCUCUGUCUCGUAGUCGCAUCUUCUAACCGGAGCGUCAGUAGGCCUUCUUUGCACAUGUCUAAACCACCGUAACCAAUUUUCUCUCAGUUUUCCUACAAUUUCAGCUACUCCUACUUUACCUCGGAUAUCCUCAUUCCUGGUCUUAUCUUUUCUCGUGUGCCCACACAUCUAACGAAGUAUCCUCAUCUCCGCUACACUCAUUUUGUGUACGUGUUGAUGUUUCACCACCCAACAUUCUGUGCCAUACAACAUCGCCGGCCUUAUUGUCGUCCUAUAAAAUUUUCCCUUGAGCUUCAGUGGCAUACGGCGGUCACACAACAAGUCGGAUGCACUCUUCCACUUCAUCCAUCCAGCUUGUAUUCUAUGGUUGAGAUCUUCAUCUAAUUCUCCGUUCUUUUGCAAGAUAGAUCCUAGGUAGUGAAAACGGUCGCUCUUUGGUAUUUCCUGAUCUCCUAUCCUCACCCCUAACUCAUUUUGGCCUCCAUUUGCACUGAACUUGCACUCCAUAUAUUCUGUCUUUGAUCGGCUUAGGCGAAGACCUUUAGAUUCCAACACUUCUCUCCAAAGGUUAAGCUUUGCAUUUACCCCUUCCUGAGUUUCAUCUAUCAACACUAUAUAGUCUGCGAAAAGCAUACACCAAGGAAUAUCAUCUUGAAUAUGUUCUGUUAACUCAUCCAUUACCAACGCAAAAAGGUAAGGACUUAAAGAUGAGCCUUGAUGUAAUCCUACAGUUAUGGAGAAGCUUUCGGUUUGUCCUUCAUGAGUUCUUACGGCAGUCUUUGCUCUUCAUACAUAUCCUUUAUAGCUUGGAUAUAUGCUACUCGUACUCAUUUCUUCUCUAAAAUCCUCCAAAGAAUGUCUCUUGGGACCCUAUCAUACGCUUUUUCCAAAUCUAUAAAGACCAUGUGUAAAUCCUUUUUCCCAUCUCUAUAUCUUUCCAUCAAUCUUCGUAAGAGAUAGAUUGUCUCCAUGGUUGAGCGUCCUCGCAUGAACCCGAAUUGGUUGUCCGAAACCCGUGUCUCUUGCCUCAAUCUAUACUCAAUGACUCUUUCCCAGAGCUUCAUUGUAUGACUCAUUAGCUUAAUACCCCUAUAGUUCAUGCAAUUUUGUACGUCGCCCUAUUCUUGUAGAUAGGCACCAAAGUGCUAUUUCGCCACUCAUUUGGCAUCUUCUUCGUUUUCAAAAUCCUAUUAAAACGGUCAGUGAGCCAUGCUAUACCUGUCUCUCCCAAGACUUUCCACACUUCGAAUACGCAUACACAAAUAAAGCAAGAUAUUUCAUUUUGGUUUUGUAUGAUUGAAAUGCUAAACGUAGAGUUUAAAUAGAUGGAACUUGAAACUACGAAAUUCAUUCACAGCGAAAAAGUAUAUGCAAGUGAUUCUCUCUACAUGACUGUUGUGCUCGGCUUUAGCAUUGUUUUUCACUUCCCAACUGCUCUGCAUCAUCUGUCUUGAAUAGUUUCUUCUAAAACAAACUCUGUCGUGCAGCUUGGGAGAGCGCUUUUCAACCACCUAAAGGUAUACAAGGGGCAAGAUCAUCCCCAUGAAGCCCAGAUGCCAGUGAAGCUGCCGAUAAGGGACAAAAGAAUACAGAUACAAAAGUAGAUUUGAAGCUGAACUCUACAGUACUUACUUUGGUUGUUAGAACCCGGCUUUUUUCGUGUUUAUAUAUUUGAAUGUAGAUGUCCAUUUUCUACAUCAGUCUUGGAUGGUUGUUUGCUUCCAGUCUGGUAUUGGAAUCUGGCCGGAAGUUUUCGUAGGUUUCAUUUGCUCUUAUGUAAUUGAACAAAACUUUGCAAUCAAUGUCACAACACGUUUCAGCAGAAAAACUCUCUGCAUGACAGAUGAGUAUCGAUAUUGUCAAAAAAGUAUGGACAACAUGUUGCUGGCGGCCAAAAAUUAUCGACAUGUUCGAGAGUCAUUAGUUUGGUUAAAAACAUAUUAAGAAUGCAUUUUCUGAUUUUCUUGGUGGAAGUAUGGUUAAGUAAUUGUUCCAAAUUCAUGACAAGAAAAAGGAUCCAAGAUUACAUGCGAAGGGAAGUACCGAUCCUGCAGUGGAGUGUUUCGUUAGGGUGGUCAUGAUAGGUUGUACAAAGGCCAUGGUGUUGCUUUUAGAAGGUUUCACACAGCUAAUCAGAGCUUUUAUUUUUUUAUUUUUAAUACAAGUGAUAUUAAUUGAGGCAGAUUCAAAUUUAGAAUGUUGAAUUGUAAAAUUAAAUGUUCUCAACCACUUGAUUUACAAACUUUUUGCAUAGUUAUUUUUUUUUUUAUUUCAAUUUUUUAUUUUUUGGAAUUGGGAUAGGCAAACUGUACAAAUGUUAUGAUCAGAAUUAUUUUUUCUUUAUCAUCAUCUAAAAAUUAUUUGUAGAAACUUUUUGUUCAAGUUGGAUACCAGUUUGUCAUUUAUAUCAAUCAAAGAAAUUGACGGUUCAUCAUAAGGAUGUGCUACUUGUUACUGCAAGCGUUGAUUUGUCAAACGCAUAUAGAUUAUUAAAUUGUGCCCAAAUUGAACAAUUUUUUUUAGAGGUGAUAUUUAAAUGAUGAUAAGAGAAUGAAUUGUUCUCAUCCAUAAUUUUACAGUGAAGUGAUAUUACGUUGAAGAAUAAAAACUUUUUUCAAUGUGCUAGAACACGGAUACAUAUUUUCUAUGUCAUUAUAAUAACAAAUAACGUAUUGUCGUUGGGUCUAUAACUCACCAAGUUCCAAAUUGACGUGUGUAGCAGCCUUUGAUGCUUUCUUGUUCAAUAGUUCAUACUUUAAUGUCAACUAACGUUUCAUUUCUUUUAUGUCAAAACAAGGCACAGAUACGUCGUUACAGGACGUCCCAUACUAAAAAAAUAAAGACGUGUAAAUUUUAUAUGUUGGAAUUUUUAUUUGGGUACUUCAGAAUACUACUAGCCGUUUGACAUCUAUAUAUUUAUUAUGGCUUAAUUCUCUCUUAAAUAUUAAAGAUGAUUCCAAUCAAGAUCCAAUUCUAGCCGUUAUAGUUGGUGGCCUCAAUCAACCAUUUUUAUUGUGGUGAUUACUCUUGCAAUUUAUUAUUAUUAUUGCUCCAAAGUUUUAAUUGCCAAAUGCUUAUCUUAUGUCUUUCUUUUUUCAAUCUCUUCUUGAGACAGUCUCAUACAAGGUGCAUUAUUGCUCACCACUAUAAUUAUGGUGUAAGCUCAAUACAUCUAAUCAUCUGUCACAUGUUAUUUCACUUAACUCUAAAUAACUUUCACAUUAAAUGUUACUUUUUCAAUUUUGAAAAAUAAAUAAAUAAAUAAAUAAAUAACCAAGGUUAAGUAGGACACGUUGAGAUGAUUAGGUAUAUGGUGACUAUACACUAUAGUUUAUCAUGGUGAGCAAAAGUCCUAGAUAUAUACAUACUCUCACGUCCUAGAUAUAUACAUACUUGCUAAUCUCUAUGAAAAAGGUUGAAGAUUACAGUCAUCUCCUCUUCUUUCUUCUUCUAUCUUUUUUAUUCAUCAUUCGUGAAAGCUUUAUUAUAUUCUUCACCUCCUUCGUACCAACGUAAAAAUUGAGUUGUUCAACCAAUACAAGUAUUGCAAGUGUAUGCUUACAAAAAUCACAAUGUAUCCUAGAGAGUAGGGUGUCAUAACCUGCUACACCAAGACAUUGUCUCAUAUUAGCGAAAUCUACUCUUAAGGAAGGUGAGUUUCCAUGCCUUAACCUAAAAUCUUGUUCUGAUCAAGCAUCAACGAAGAGCGUUUCUAAUAUUUAUUAUUUUGUUAUAGGAGAAGUAGUAUCCACAUCGCUUAUAUUUCCAACAUUAUCUACAUGCCCUUAUUUCAAUAUCAUAUGACACCAUCUUUUUUAUGGUAUUCAAUAAUUAAUGUCUCAAAGAAUAAAAUUGUAGAGAAUCUCAUUCCGAGUAUCUGGGACUCCACAAAGACACCAAUGAGGCAAUGACUACAGUCCAUUCCGGUGCGGCCUCCCAACCCAUAAAUUGAAGGAUGUCCAUCUUUACGCAGGAGUGAGAGGUUUGUUAUAUCCAGCAAUGUCACUGGCUUUUUUAUUGUGCUUAACACAUUCUUCAGCACACUCAGAGCUGGUGGCAAACCUCCUGGAUAGGUCGACCCAAGCAAAGGCACCUUUUGCCCUACACAACUUCUUGCCCUUGGUUCUUGCCUUUCACUGCCACUACAAUCAAAAUUAAGAGACUACUAAUUUGAUUGAUGUCACUGGAAUAAACCUCAUAACAGUUAUCCACAACAAAUGAUUCAAAAAUUAUAAUGAUUUUCAUGUGUAUUUGGACGAUUAUUAGUUUAUGUACUCUAUGUUAAAUUUUACUUUUUUAUAUAUUGACGAUUGACAACCAAUGACGACGACAUCUAAUAAAAAAAAGUUAAAGCUAAUACUAAAAAGUUGAAUUUUUUUUUGAGUACUUUGAUAUUUUUACAUUAGGAGGAGGGGGAGUUCUGCUAAGCCACAUAAUGGGCAACCUAAUUUGGUAUCGAAUUCACCAUCCACGAGAUUCGAACUUAAGACCUCUCACUUAUAAGCAAAGAGGAAUACUACCAGACCGUAAUACUGAGUGGCCUAAAAAGUUGAAUUUUAAUUAAUAUAGUUAUUAUUGACACUUUAAAAAGUUUUUAAUUACACUUUUUUUUUUACGAGACAAGCUGGUGAUAAAGCCACGACAGUUCGCUCUCCCAAAAGUUGAAAGACUCACAUAGGCAUUUAAGUCGAAAAUCAAACUCAGGAUGAGUCAUGUGGAACAAGGGUUUGAAAUUCGCUCCAAUCACUGGGCAACUCCUCUUUAAUAGGAAUAUAAUAGAUAAAUUGCAUUAAGAAGAGUCUUGCGAGUGUAAAAUAAAUUUUUUAAAAUGCUAAUAACAAUUUUGUUUUGGUUGUUAUCAUAAAUUGGUUAUAUUAGAUAAGAAAGUUACUUGAGAAAUUCUUCCCUGGAAGAACCCUAGAUUUUGGUGGAUCAAUGUUUACCCAUAACCAGCCCCAAGUACUCAGUGCUUUCUAAAAAGCAAACAUGAGGUCAAUGUCUUUGCUUAUCUGACCACCUACUUCAACACAAACUCAUUAUCUCAUAUUUUUACACAAUAUUUUAUAAUAUUAAUACAAAAAUUAACGUUAAAUUGUGUUGCGAUAAAAAAUUUAUAUAAAAUCUCACUUUAAAAAAAUUCUCUUCACAUUUAUAAUAUAUAUAGGGUUACGGUUGAGAAGGUCCUCUACAAUUAAACCAAUGCCACGUUUUGAAGACGAGCAUGUCAACGUCCCUUUGUAACUUGCCUCCCCCAAUCAAAUCAAGCUUCAAGACCCUCCCGAGUCCCAAUCUUCACUCUUCCGCAAUAUCUACUAGAGGAGGAUUUAAGAGAAGGCAUUCUCAAUUUUCCUAAAAAUAGGGAUUAAUUGUGGGACUUACACCAUGUCGAAUUUUAACAAUUUAAACUAUUUAUUUUCAAGUUACACCUUAUCGAUCAUUCUUGCAAAUUACUAGCCAAAUUGGAAACAUUUGAGACAUCCAAUUGAGUUUAAAAAAAAUUAACGAAGAUUUUUUUAUAUGAAUACAUUGAAAUUUCAUUGUGAUAGUUAAAUAUAUAAAUAAUUUCAUAUUGAAUUGAAUUUAUACAAAAAUGAUUUAUAAAUCGAUACAUAUAAAUUAGACAAUUCAGAUUGUUGAAUUUUGAUAUAAAACAGAUCCCACAACAAAUAUUCUUGUUUAAUUAAAUACAAAUAUCUUCCCUUAAAAUGCUUAAUCUCCUAGAUAUACAUUGCAGUCUGGCGUCACUUUGACUUCAUGCUUCUUGUUUGGUAGAACCGGAACAAAAAAUGUCAAAUAUUGUCCGAGCAGGAUAUUAAAAGGUCAAAUUUGUUUGAGGUGCGAUUGGACAUGGACCGUCGCAUCCAUGAAAGGCUGCCACAACCGACUUUUUCCAUGCAGCCAAACACAAUAUUCCUUGGGAAAACCAUUGGGAGGAAGCCUGGAGUCGCUUUAUAUAUUCAGAGGGGCCCCUCUCCCCUGCCACAAUUUGUUCAUGCGAUUCUUUUCUAGUAAGAGGAUUUGUUCAUGUUUAAAAAAAUAUUAUCCUUUUCUUAAAAUUAAUUAAUUUGGAAUGUUGGAUUUCAAAUGUUAACUCAUGUGUGAUGUGUCUAAAAUAAACAGAAGAAUGACAAAUUAAUUAAUUUUUAUAUAUUUGAUAGAGUUAUAUAUAAAGCCAUAAAAAUAAAAAAAUUUAAAUUCUGAGAACGCCCAAAUUAAGAAUAAUAUGACAGAACUCUUUGUUUUUCAAUUUUUUAUUCAUGAAAAAAAAACCUACUUUCCACUUAAUGAUACAACAAUUUAAUGACUGGGAAGGGUUAUAUAUGGGAAUGGAUGCUAAAACUGGAAAAGGGAAAUGAUACAAGUCAAGAGUAAACUAGAUUAGUGUAUUUUUUUUAAAUAGAUAUAUACUUUCUGCAUUGAAUACACAUUAUGUUCCCACCAUUUUUAAUUAUACACAUAAAGCUUACAUUUCUAAACAAAUUGUUAAAGAAAUAAAAUAAAAUAAACAAGUGUUCACUAUUUUAAAGAAUUUGCUGAAUAAUACACAUACGUAUUUUUCACAUACUAUAUGCUUUUUCCGUCUUGAUCUAAUUAUAUACUUUUCAACUUUAUCCAAAUUAUAGAGUAAGGUUAUGCCUACUCAGCUACUAAUUAGUAAAUAUUCAUGAUAAAUACAAGUAUACAACUAUAAGGUGGUUGGGAAAAUAAAUAGAGUCAAAUAGGUAGUCAUAGUACCACUCUUUGAAUAUGAAAGACCCAUUUUGAUAAUUUGCAUUUUUACCUUCUUGCCACAAUUUUAUAUUUUGGAAGACUGGAGUCUGGAGAUGAUUGGAAUUGACAACACUCAUUCCUCAAUUUGAGAAAAAAGGCACAUCAAAACCUUAAAGAAUUAUUUAAUUCUCAUGAAAAUAAUUAGAGAUUGCAUUCUUGUGCAAUGAGUGGCAUGUCAAGUGGGAAAUCUACGCAAAACGAGGGGCUCAUAUAUGAGCUAAAACUGUGCAAUGGAAAAAGUCAUCCACUGUUGUCCCAUAAAUUACAACUCUUUUGUCGAUGAUAAACUUCUAUGUUUAUACAACAACAUAAUGGUACACUAAACGUUAUGAUAUUAAAUAUGGGGACGAUAAUGUUGAUAUAAUAUGUUUUAAGGUAAUAUCCAUCUAUUUGACCAAAACAAAAAGGGUUAUAUUUAUUUAUUUAUAUUAUGACACUCAAUGAGAAGCUACUCACAAAGGCUACCAUAAAAUUUUUGGCUCCACCCUUGAUGGCACAUAGUCGUUAAAUGCUUUGUAUUUUGGAUAUAUUGAAAAAUUCUUCUUUGUCGAUAGCCAGUUGGUGAGUAACCAGUUCAUCAGCUCGCUUUCGUCUCCAAGUGAUUAGUCAAAUGAUGUUACUAACACAGUUUUACAACUAGCUAGGUUUAGGUUUAAGAGUUAUACAUGAAAAUGAGAUGCCAAAACUGGAAAUGGAAAUUAUACAAGCCAAGUACGUUGAUAGUAGUAAUGGUUCACGUACCUACACACACAAUGCUGCUGCUGCUAAUGACUGACUACAGAGAAAAGGAUUCUCGCGAGAUAUUCUUUGUGGAGAUCCGAGAGAUUUUGCAAUCAUGUUCGUUCAUCAUAUAUCGUGCGAUCAUUUUUUGUUAGGUACUAUUUAUAUUCAAUUUUAAAUUUUAAAUUUUAAAUGAUUUCUAACCGCACAAUAUAUAAUGAACGAACAUGAUUACAAGAUCAUCCGGAUCCCCACAAAAAGGAUCCGUGUAGGAUCUUGUUCCUGAUUACACCUCAUCACAAGCUACCACGUGCUAGCCAGUCAACUAGAUUAGUGCAUUAAUUUAUCAUCAAUCGAAGUAAUUAGGCAUCUACGGUGUUGAUAAAAUCAUUCAUGGCAUGGUGAAGAUAUUAUAUGAAGAAGAAGAAUGCUGCUUUUAGUCGUAUCACUUGAACUAUUAAGACCAUGUUAGUAAAUUGCUUUAUUAUAACUGGCCAUACUUGUCCAUUGCAAAAUAUUCAUAACAUGCUGACUAAAUCUGUGGUUAAUGGUCAUUUUUUAUAAUGGACAAUUAAUGUUCGUUGUAAAAUUGAUGCGGUAAAUAAGUUGUAUUCUUAUAAUGUUUUAUCAUCAAUUAACGUGUGAUAUACACAUAAUUAAAAAAACGGACCAUAGUCAACUACAAUCAAAAUUAAGAGACUACUAAUUUGAUUGAUGUCACUGGAAUAAACCUCAUAACAGUUCUCCACAAUAAAUGAUUCAAAAUUUUUAAUGACAACGGUUUUCACAUGUAUUUGGACGACUAUUAGUAGUUUAUGUACUCUAUGUUAAAUUUUAUUUAUUUUUAUAUAUUCACGAUUGACAACAAAUGACCACGACAUCUAAUAAAAAAAAGUUUAAUACUAAAUAGUUGACUUUUUUUUUUUGAGUACAUCGAUAUUUUUACACUAGGAGGAGGGGGAGUUCAGUUAAGUCACACAAUGAGCAACCUAAUUUAGUAUCGAAUUCGCCAUAUACGAAAUUCGAACUUAAAAUCUCGUACUUCUAAACGAAGAAGAAUACUACCAGAUCGUAGGGGAGCAUUUUUGCUCACCACCAUAAAUUAUGGUGUAUGCUCACUUUUACACUAGGAGGAGGGAGAGUUCAGUUAAGUCACACAAUGAGCAACCUAAUUUAGUAUCGAAUUCGCCAUAUACGAAAUUCGAACUUAAAAUCUCGUACUUCUAAACGAAGAAGAAUACUACCAGAUCGUAGGGGAGCAUUUUUGCUCACCACCAUAAAUUAUGGUGUAUGCUCACCAUACACCUAAUCAAUUGACACAUGUCAAUUCACUUAAUCUUGGUUUUUUUUUAAAAUUGAAAAACUAACAUUUAAUGUGAAAGUUAACUAGAGUUAAGUGAAAUGACACGUGUCAAUUGAUUAGGUGUAUGGUGAGCAUACACCAUAGCUUAUGGUGGUGAGCAAAAAUGCUCGCCAGACCGUAGUACUGAGUGGCCUAAAAGUUGAAUUUUAAUUAAUAUAGUUUCUAUUGACACUUUAAAAAGUUUCUAAGUACACUUUUUUUUUACAGGACAAGCUGGUGAUGAAGUCACGACAGUUCACUCUCCUGAAAGUCGAAAGACUCACAUAGGCAUUUCAGUUGGAAAUCAAACUCAUGAUGAGUCAUGUGGAAUAAGGGUUUGGAAUUAGCUCCAAUCAUUGGGCAACUCCUCUUUAAUAGGAAUAUAAUAGAUAAAUUGCAUUACGAAGAGUCUUGCGAAUGUAAAAUAAAUUUCUUAGAGUGCUAAUAACAAUUUUGUUUUGAUUAUUAUCAUACAUUGGUUAUAUUAGAUAAGAAAGUUACUUGUAAUGAGAAGGAGAAAUUCUUCCAUGGAAGAACCCUAGAUUUUGGUGGAUCAAUGUUACCCAUAACCAGCCCUAAGUAAUGAGUGCCAUCUACAAAGCAAACACGCGGUCAAUGUCUUUGCUUAUCUGGCCUCCUACUUCAACACAAACUCAUUAUCUCAUAUUUUUAUAUAAUAUUUUAUAGUAUUAAUACAAAAAUUUAAGCUAAAUUGUGACGCGACAAAAAAAUUAUAAAAAAUCUCACUUUAAAGGAAUCCUCCUCACAUUUCUAGUAGUUAUAGGCUUACGGUUGAGAAGGUCCUCUACGAUUCGGCCGGAUCUUUUUUCUGGGAAUUCUAGAUAUCAUGUGAUUGUGACCAUUUAUCGUACAUCGUGUGGUUAUAAAUCAUUUUAAAUUUUAAAAUUUAAAUUAAAUAUAAAUAGUACCUAACAAAAAUUGACCGCAUGAUAUACGAUAAACGAUCACGAUCGUAUGAUCCCUAGGAUCCCCAUGAAAAGAAUCCAACGAGGAACAUUUUCCUUACAAUUCUACCAAAGUCACGUAUUGAAGAUGAGCAUAUCAACGUCCUUCUGUAACUUGCCUCCCCCAAUCAAAUCAAGCUUCAAGAUCCUCCCGAGUCCCAAUCUGUUCACUCUUCCACAAAAGGAUUUAAGAGAAGGCGUUCUCAAUUUUCAUAAAAAUAAGGAUUAUUCAUGGGAUUUACACUAUACAACAACAACAACAACAAAGCCUUUUCCCACUAAGUGGGGUCGGCUAUAUGAAUCCUAGAACGCCAUUGCGCUCGGUUUUGUGUCAUGUUCUCCGUUAGAUCCAAGUACUCUAAGUCUUUUCUUAGAGUCUCUUCCAAAGUUGUCCUAGGUCUUCCUCUACCCCUUCGGCCCUGAACCUCUGUCCCGUAGUCACAUCUUCGAACCGGAGCGUCAGUCGGCCUUCUUUGCACAUGUCCAAAAUCACCGGAGCCGAUUUUCUCUCAUCUUUCCUACAAUUUCGGCUACUCCUACUUUACCUCGGAUAUCCUCAUUCCCAAUCUUAUCCUUUCUCGUGUGCCCACACAUCCCACGAAGCAUCCUCAUCUCCGCUACACCCAUUUUGUGUACGUGUUGAUGCUUCACCACCCAACAUUCUGUGCCAUACAACAUCGCUAGCCUUAUUGCCGUCCUAUAAAAUUUUCCCUUGAGCUUCAGUGGCCUACGACGGUCACACAACACGCCGGAUGCACUCUUUUCCAUCCAGCUCGUAUUCUAUGGUUGAGAUCUCCAUCUAAUUCUCCGUUCUCUUGCAAGAUAGAUCCUAGGUAGCGAAAACGAUCGCUUUUUGUGAUCUUCGCUAGAUUGCUCCGGUCAUUAGUGUGGAUAAGUAUAUAAAUGGAUAGAGAUAGGAAAGCAAACACAAGAUGUACGUGGUUCACCCAGAUUGGCUACGUCCACGGAAUAGAAGAGUUCUCAUUAAUUGUGAAGGGUUUACACAAGUACAUAGGUUCAAGCUCUCCAUUUAGUGAGUACAAGUGAAUGAUUUAGUACAAAUGACAUUAGGAAAUAUUGUGGGAGAAUGAUCUCGUAAUCACGAAACUUCUAAGUAUCGGAGUGUGGUGUCGUCUUGACUUGCCUUAUCUGUCUCAUAGGUAGAUGUGGCAUCUUCUCUGGAAGUACUCUUCCUCCAUCCAGGGGUGGUAUCUUUAACUGGUGGAGAUGCACAAGGUAAUGUAUCAAUUUCACUUGAAGCUUACUUGUAGUUUCAGGCUUGGUCAAGCGCGAUACAAACCAUGUAGUAGGAGUCCCCCAAGUCGCCGAGCUAGGGGGUCUGCUGAAAGAGGUGACAGACAAGGUAAGCAAUCAGAGCUCCGACUGAUUGUUCACCUUCUCCCCAUCUUGCAGCAGCAUGAAGGAUAAAGAGAAGAAAAAUGAGAAGAGAUGAUAUGAGAUACUUUUGCUUUUGAAGAAGUAACUUUCCACAGGCUUAUUCUUGAACUGAGCUGGAGGGUUUUCUGGUUUCCUCCAGAGUAUAAGGCCGACUGAAGAAUUUGAGGGUCAAAACAAGUCCAUCAAAUCUAGAGUACGUUCCACCCUGCUGAUAUGGGAUACUUUUGCUUUUGACAGAGUAAUGGAAUGUAUCGGCACGUGUGCUGUUACGCUUGUCUCCACAUGCUUCCUUGUAUCCUUCGCACUUGCCCUAUCUGUUCCUCAAGCAGAUGCGGAAUCUUCCCUGGAAACAUAAGAUGUUGAAGAUGAGUACUCGAGAGCAAUGCCAGGUAAGUAAUCAGGUAAGGGGUUCCAGGCAGUCAGUUCCUGGCUGGAAGCUUGAUUCCAAGUGCUGACUGAUUGCUCUCUUUCUCCUUGUCUUGCAGGUAAAAACAAGGCCAAAGAAAAGACAGGGAAAAAGCAUGAUAUGGGAUACUCUUGCUUUUAACCCUGAUGAUAUGAGAUAUUCUUGCUCUAGUAUAGCUUGUUUGCAGAGGUAUUAUCGGGGGGAAAGAAAGCUGAAUAUUUCGAAAGGCUUCGUUGGGAGUGCCCUCUCAGAUAUGAUGAAGGGUUGAGCAUUUUUGCAGGUCUGCCUGUCCGUUGGGGAUGGAGGUCGACAUAUAUAUAGGAGUCUCCCUAACAACAAGUAGUAAUGCUAUUCCUUUACCCUGCUUGGUCAUAGCACGGUAGUGGGAGCUGCCAGUUUCACAUGUUUUAACUCUGUCAGAGCACUUUGAAAAAGUGGUCUGUGGUAUCUGGCUCUCGAGAUUCGGAGAACGAUGCCUCUUCGAUUUUUGAGAAAGCAAUCAUGCUGGGGGUCUGGACUCUCGAGAUUCGGAGAGCAGUGUCUCUUCGAUUUUUGAGGAAGUAAUCAUGUUGGGAGUCUGGCUCUCGAGAUUCGGAGGGCGGUGCCUCUUCGAUUUUGGAGCAAGCAAUCUUGUUGGGAGUGUUGUCUCGAAUGUGAGUAAAGGUUGGGCAUGUUUGCUAGUCUACCUUGCCACGAAGCACAAAGGUUGACACACAGGGACUUUCCAAUUAUCCAGCAAUGGUACUGUUCCUUUACCCUCUCUUCGAUUUUGAGAAAGUAGUCAUGUUGGGAGUCUGGCUCUCGAGAUUCGGAGGACGGUGCCUCUUCGAUUUUGGAGCAAGCAAUCUUAUUGGGAGUGUUUUCUCGAAUGUGAGUAAAGGUUGGGCAUGUUUGCUAGUCUACCUUGCCACGAAGCACAGAGGUUGACACACAGGGACUUUCCAAUUAUCCAGCAGUGGUACUGUUCCUUUACCAGUUGUGGGUAAUAAUAUGGUAGCUAGACCUUCAAAAUUUAUGUGUCUAAACUUUUGUUAGUGCUGUUUCUUUGCUAUUCUUUUACCUUUCUUGGUCAGAGCGAUGUAGUGGGAGCUGCAAGCUUCACGUGCUCAACUUUGGCAGAGAACUUUGGCAAAGUUAUUUGUGGUACCCAUGAGCUAUUGUUGCGUGUGGGAAGUGGGUGAUUGAACAGUAAGAUUCAUGUGCUUUCUACUUCACCAGAAGUCUUCGACAGAAUGCCCAUAAUUUCUGCAAAGCUGAGUGUGCGUGUGACAGGUGCUGACAAGGCUAGAAAAGUAGGUGCCUCUUCGAUUUCUGAGAUCGGCCCUCGUGGUCUCUGAGCAGCCCAGCUUUUGAGAAAGCGAGCGCCUCUUCGAUUGAUUCGGAGAACGAUGCCUCAUCGAUUUUUGAGAAAGCAAUCAUGCUGGGGGUCUGGCUCUCGAAGAUUCGGGGAGCAGUGUCUCUUCGAUUUUUGAGAAAGUAAUCAUGUUGGGAGUCUGGCUCUCGAGAUUCGGAGGGCGGUGCCUCUUCGAUUUUGGAGCAAGCAAUCUUGUUGGGAGUGUUUUUCUCGAAUGUGAGUAAAGGUUGGGCAUGUUUGCUAGUCUACCUUGCCACGAAGCACAGAGGUUGACACACAGGGACUUUCCAAUUAUCCAGCAAUGGUACUGUUCCUUUACCCCCUCUCUUCGAUUUUUAAGAAAGUAGUCAUGUUGGGAGUCUGGCUCUCGAGAUUCGGAGGACGGUGCCUCUUCGAUUUUGGAGCAAGCAAUCUUAUUGGGAGUGUUUUCUCGAAUGUGAGUAAAGGUUGGGCAUGUUUGCUAGUCUACCUUGCCACGAAGCACAGAGGUUGACACACAGGGACUUUCCAAUUAUCCAGCAGUGGUACUGUUCCUUUACCCUUGUGGGUAAUAAUAUGGUAGCUAGACCUUCAAAAUUUAUGGGUCUAAACUUUGUUAGUGCUGUUUCUUUGCUAUUCUUUUACCCUUCUUGGUCAGAGCGAUGUAGUGGGAGCUGCAAGCUUCACGUGCUCAACUUUGGCAGAGAACUUUGGCAAAGUUAUCUGUGGUACCCAUGAGCUAUUGUUGCGUGUGGGAAGUGGGUGAUUGAACAGUAAGAUUCAUGUGUUUUCUACUUCACCAGAAGUCUUUGACAGAAUGCCCAUAAUUUCCGCAAAACUGAGUGUGCGUGUGACAGGUGCUGACAAGGCUGGAAAAGGCUGGAAAAGUAGGUGCCUCUUCGAUUUCUGAGAUCGGCCCUCGUGGUCUCUGAGGAGCCCAGCUUUUGAGAAAGCGAGCGCCUCUUCGAUUUUUGAGAUCGGCCUUCGUGGUCUUUGAGCAGCCCAACUUUUGAGAAAGCAAACGCCUCUUCGAUUUCUGAGAUCAACCCUCGUGAUCUCUAAGCAGCCCAGCUUUUGAGAAAGCAAACGCCUCUUCGAUUUCUGAGCAGGCGCCUCUUCGAUUUCUGAAGCUUCGUCGAGUGCAGAUUUUUAUAGGGGCUGGCAUUAAGUUCCAAAGCACACUUGAAUCUCCACCAGUAGAAGCUUCAUUCUUGCACUUCUAAGAUCUUGAUUUGUCCGACCUCUUCUCUCUUCAACACCUUUGAAAAUGUCUGGCCCCAUCCGACCGUCGUUUUGACUUGAACCUUGUUGAAGAGGCAGCCCCGCCUUCUCCAGACAACAUAUGGCGCCCAUCCUUCGUCUCCCCUACUGGUCCUCUUACCGUUGGGGAUUCCGUGAUGAAGAAUGAUAUGACCGCUGCGGUGGUGGCCAGGAACCUUCUCACUCCCAAAGAUAACAGACUACUUUCCAAACGGUCUGAUGAGUUAGCUGUUAAGGAUUCGCUGGCUCUCAGUGUUCAGUGUGCAGGUUCUGUGUCUAAUAUGGCCCAACGCCUAUUUGCUCGAACCCGCCAAGUUGAAUCAUUGGCGGCUGAAGUGAUGAGUCUCAAACAGGAGAUUAGAGGGCUCAAGCAUGAGAAUAAACAGUUGCACCGGCUCGCACAUGACUAUGCUACAAACAUGAAGAGGAAGCUUGACCAGAUGAAGGAAACUGAUGGUCAGGUUUUACUUGAUCAUCAGAGAUUUGUGGGUUUGUUCCAAAGGCAUUUAUUGCCUUCGUCUUCUGGGGCUGUACCGCGUAAUGAAGCUCCAAAUGAUCAACCUCUGAUGCCUCCUCCUUCUAGGGUUCUGUCCAGUACUAAGGCUCCAAAUGAUCCCCCUCCGGUGCCUUCUCUUUCUGGGGCUCUACCGACUGCUGAGACUUCUCCUAAGCAACCUUUGUGAAGGCUCCCUCUUGUGUGUUUAUUUUGACUCAUGUAUAUGUACAUAUUUGUAGCUUAUCGGGGAUAUCAAUAAAUAAGCUUUCCUUCAUUUCAACGUAUUGUGUUAAAU